ensembl:snoRNA
GGCCUCCUGGUGUUUUAUCACAGACUGUGUUCUUUACACUGACUAUACACAAAAAGCAUGCACAGUAAACCUGUCACGUAUAUAUAACUUAACCCAAGUCCUUUGCUUGGCUUGUAUUGUAAAUGGGGAAGACAUGG